rnacentral:lncRNA from 1 species
AGGCCUGCCUAGAAACUAUAUAUUACAGUCAAAGGGCCUGGAAACAUUGUUUAUAUAUACAGUAUUCUACACACCCUAGAAGCCCCACUCAGCACAGCCAGUGGCCGUAUGAACAGAGAAUCCUGUCAUCGUUCAGAAAAUAGCAUUUCUAUUUCUACAUGUGCCUGGUAGCUCAGUGCUGAGAGUUUCUGCACAUACUCUUUCUGCUCCCUCUGUCUUUUUUAAAACAAUAGUUUAAUCUAGUCCAGUAUCAACAUCAGCAGAGACAGGGCCAGACUGAGUUUGGAUAUGCUGGAGUGUGAUUCCAAUUAACUGCACUGAACGCAGAAAUGAGUUUGUUCAAAAUGUCUCUCUUGUGCUUACUCACUUUACAAACCUCCUCCAGAACUCGUCCCAUGAGGGAGAAAGACAAUAUUCAAGGACAUUUCUGUCCAGCCAUUUUACAGAGAGAGAGAGAGGGAGAGAGAUGGUAUUACAGGGUCCUUUCAAAAACUUUUCCGGAGGCUGCAGUCUCCUUCAUCUGUAGUCUAGAAACAGUUACUUGUGAAGCGGAAAGAGAAACAGGAAUGCACGGCUUCUCUACCAGCUGUCUUAAGAGACUGUCCAAGGCUUUUCCUCAAAAGUCAUUCCACCCUGGACUGCAAGUUUAUUCUAUAUGCUUUGCUGAAAGAACUGGUACAGAAAGCUCCUUAUCUCCCUCACCUAUUUCACUGCCUGCUGGUCAUUGAAAAAGAUCAUAUGAAGUAAAAGUGAAGUGUAUCAUCUUGAAUGACUGUAGGAACUGUUGUAAGCUUUCUGAAGUGGUUUCAUUCUCAGCUAUGAGCACAAAGCAAACCAUAGAGCUCCAUCUACUGGCCAGAACAUGUACUAGAGUCACAAAGCAGUUUAUAGCGUACAUUGAGUCAUAUAUUGAGUCAUAUAUAGUACAUUGAGU